rnacentral:rRNA from 1 species
UACGGAGGGAGCUAGCGUUGUUCGGAAUUACUGGGCGUAAAGCGCACGUAGGCGGCUUUGUAAGUUAGAGGUGAAAGCCCGGAGCUCAACUCCGGAACUGCCUUUAAGACUGCAUCGCUUGAAUCCAGGAGAGGUGAGUGGAAUUCCGAGUGUAGAGGUGAAAUUCGUAGAUAUUCGGAAGAACACCAGUGGCGAAGGCGGCUCACUGGACUGGUAUUGACGCUGAGGUGCGAAAGCGUGGGGAGCGAUCCGG